rnacentral:rRNA from 1 species
UACAGAGGUGGCAAGCGUUGUUCGGAAUUACUGGGCGUAAAGGGCGCGUAGGCGGCCGCCUCAGUCAGACGUGAAAUUCCCCGGCUUAACCGGGGCACGGCGUCUGAUACUGGGUGGCUAGAGUUCGGGAGAGGAAUGUGGAAUUCCAGGUGUAGCGGUGAAAUGCGUAGAUAUCUGGAGGAACACCGGUGGCGAAGGCGGCAUCCUGGGACCGGCAUUGACGCUGAGGCGCGAAAGCCAGGGGAGCAAACGGG